UGCUUAGACGAAGUCACACACUCGCGGAGGGAAGUAAUCUGAAGGCUGCUGUGGAUCUUGGAUAAGUGGCAUCCUAUGAAGAUGUGAACAAUGAAAUAAUAAGGACUCUCAGGGCUAAAGAAGACGGAAAAGCGUGCUCAGAAGAGUCCCAAGAUUGAAGUGAUACACUGAUUUGGUUCCUUGUGGCCUCUUUGUCAGAGACUAUCCUGAGUUCCUCACCAUGUGAGUCUCUUCCACAUUACAUCUUACCUCAUCGAUGUGAGCAA